rnacentral:rRNA from 1 species
AGAGUUUGAUCCUGGCUCAGGACGAACGCUGGCGGCGUGCUUAACACAUGCAAGUCGAACGGAAAGGCCCUUCGGGGUACUCGAGUGGCGAACGGGUGAGUAACACGUGGGUGAUCUGCCCUGCACUUUGGGAUAAGCCUGGGAAACUGGGUCUAAUACCGAAUAUGACCAUGCGCCUCCUGGUGUGUGGUGGAAAGCUUUUGCGGUGUGGGAUGGGCCCGCGGCCUAUCAGCUUGUUGGUGGGGUAAUGGCCUACCAAGGCGACGACGGGUAGCCGGCCUGAGAGGGUGACCGGCCACACUGGGACUGAGAUACGGCCCAGACUCCUACGGGAGGCAGCAGUGGGGAAUAUUGCACAAUAGGCGCAAGCCUGAUGCAGCGACGCCGCGUGAGGGAUGACGGCCUUCGGGUUGUAAACCUCUUUCAGCACAGACGAAGCGCAAGUGACGGUAUGUGCAGAAGAAGGACCGGCCAACUACGUGCCAGCAGCCGCGGUAAUACGUAGGGUCCGAGCGUUGUCCGGAAUUACUGGGCGUAAAGAGCUCGUAGGUGGUUUGUCGCGUUGUUCGUGAAAACGCACAGCUUAACUGUGGGCGUGCGGGCGAUACGGGCAGACUUGAGUACUGCAGGGGAGACUGGAAUUCCUGGUGUAGCGGUGGAAUGCGCAGAUAUCAGGGGGAACACCGGUGGCGAAGGCGGGUCUCUGGGCAGUAACUGACGCUGAGGAGCGAAAGCGUGGGGAGCGAACAGGAUUAGAUACCCUGGUAGUCC